GUUUUUAGGGAAGAGUGCUAAGUGAAAAUGCUAUAUAACCUUUGUGGUUUUUGCAAGAGGUGAAGAUUUUUCUGCCCACCCUGCUAUGAGUGGACUGCUCUGUAUGUAGGUUUCACUUAAUAAACUCUAUGUCUCGUUUGCUGGCUCUGAGUGUCUUCUCCAGGGAACCUGAUGCCAUCCAUAUUGAAGUUAAUAGGGGUCUGGCAUGACAGGCCCUGGGGGUUGACAAGUUACUAAAUGGAAUGAUCUUGGAUCCCUGAAUAUCUGUUGCUCCUGACCACCAGGUUGGCUCCACAUGACCAAGAAGAAUAAUGGGGGAAAACCCAAUCCAGAAAUGCCAUCAGCCUGUGGACUGUGGUUGAGUUUUGAUAGCUCAACUUUGCACAAACUCUUUGGCAAGAAGGAGUAUGUGAGUCAGUGUAUAUCUCAGCUCUACAAAAAGCAGCAAUGUUUAAUGAAGUGA
rnacentral:lncRNA from 1 species